GGGUGAGUAACACGUGAGCAACCUGCCUUUCAGAGGGGGAUAACGGCUGGAAACGGUCGCUAAUACCGCAUGAUGUGUUCGGAUGGCAUCAUCUGAACAUCAAAGAUUUAUCGCUGAAAGAUGGGCUCGCGUCUGAUUAGAUAGUUGGUGGGGUAACGGCCUACCAAGUCUACGAUCAGUAGCCGGACUGAGAGGUUGAACGGCCACAUUGGGACUGAGAUACGGCCCAGACUCCUACGGGAGGCAGCAGUGGGGAAUAUUGCACAAUGGGGGAAACCCUGAUGCAGCAACGCCGCGUGAAAGGAUGACGGUUUUCGGAUUGUAAACUUCUUUUCUUAGUGACGAAGACAGUGACGGUAGCUAAGGAAUAAGCAUCGGCUAACUACGUGCCAGCAGCCGCGGUAAUACGUAGGAUGCAAGCGUUAUCCGGAUUUACUGGGUGUAAAGGGAGCGCAGGCGGGACUGCAAGUUGGAUGUGAAAUACCGUGGCUUAACCACGGAACUGCAUCCAAAACUGUAGUUCUUGAGUGAAGUAGAGGCAAGCGGAAUUCCGAGUGUAGCGGUGAAAUGCGUAGAUAUUCGGAGGAACACCAGUGGCGAAGGCGGCUUGCUGGGCUUUAACUGACGCUGAGGCUCGAAAGUGUGGGGAGCAAACAGGAUUAGAUACCCUGGUAGUCCACACUGUAAACGAUGAUAGCUAGGUGUGGGGGGUCUGACCCCUUCCGUGCCGGAGUUAACGCAAUAAGCUAUCCACCU
rnacentral:rRNA from 1 species